AUUGAACGCUGGCGGCAUGCCUUACACAUGCAAGUCGAACGGCAGCACGGGAGCAAUCCUGGUGGCGAGUGGCGAACGGGUGAGUAAAGUAUCGGAACGUGCCCAGUCGUGGGGGAUAACGUAGCGAAAGUUACGCUAAUACCGCAUACGAUCUAUGGAUGAAAGCGGGGGAUCGCAAGACCCUGCGCGAUUGGAGCGGCCGAUAUCAGAUUAGGUGGUUGGUGGGGUAAAGGCUCACCAAGCCGACGAUCCGUAGCUGGUCUGAGAGGACGACCAGCGACACUGGGACUGAGACACGGCCCAGACUCCUACGGGAGGCAGCAGUGGGGAAUUUUGGACAAUGGGCGCAAGCCUGAUCCAGCCAUGCCGCGUGCAGGAUGAAGGCCUUCGGGUUGUAAACUGCUUUUGUACGGAACGAAAAGGUUUGACUUAAUACGUUGGACUCAUGACGGUACCGUAAGAAUAAGCACCGGCUAACUACGUGCCAGCCGCCGCAGUAAUAC
rnacentral:rRNA from 1 species